AUUGAACGCUGGCGGCAUGCUUUACACAUGCAAGUCGAACGGUAACAGGGAGCUUGCUCCGCUGACGAGUGGCGAACGGGUGAGUAAUGCAUCGGAACGUACCCAGUCGUGGGGGAUAACGUAGCGAAAGUUACGCUAAUACCGCAUACGUCCUGAGGGAGAAAGCGGGGGACCGUAAGGCCUCGCGCGAUUGGAGCGGCCGAUGUCGGAUUAGCUAGUUGGUAGGGUAAAGGCCUACCAAGGCGACGAUCCGUAGCGGGUCUGAGAGGAUGAUCCGCCACACUGGGACUGAGACACGGCCCAGACUCCUACGGGAGGCAGCAGUGGGGAAUUUUGGACAAUGGGCGAAAGCCUGAUCCAGCCAUGCCGCGUGAGUGAAGAAGGCCUCGGUUGG
rnacentral:rRNA from 1 species